UUUGACAGUUCCUGGUUUUGGAAUAUGGAACUCCAGCAAUGCAGUGGAGAACAGAGAGGUUGUCUCUAUCAGCUGAUACUAAAGUCUUGGUAUCUGAAUCUGUAUUUGGAAGGAAACACUUUCAUAAGUAAAUAACCAGAGGUUUGUUCCCUAUCCCUUGAAUACAAUUUUGAGAAUCUCAUACACAAACUGUAAAACUUCACCGAAGAAGAGUUCCACCCACAAGGAUGAAACUUCUUCAACACAAAAACAGAGGAAAACAAAGGACAAUAUGGUACCGCCCACCCACUCUGUGCUGACAGGUGAUCUCUGACAAGUGCAGCCUAGAAACACCUCAGUAAUCACUACUUAGCAACAGAGCUUUUUCCAGCAAAAGGAAAACUCUUAAGACAAACAGUCUGCUGGGAUUGGAUUGCCUCUUGACAAACGGAAGAGUGUGCUGCUGACCUGCUGUAUGAGGAGGUUACAGGUCUCCUGCAGCAGAACAAUGAGGCGUGCUGGGUUGCUGUAGUAUCUGGAGUUGGCCCACACCAGGCACACGGUGUGCAUCAGAGGGCCGACCUGACCCCUGACUUCCUGGAACUCUACGUUCUCCAUGUCCUCAAACAGGCGUUGCAGGGGCCUCAAGUAGGUGCAGAUAUCCUUGGCCUCCUCCAGGGCUGCAGAGUGGAGAUGUGUUCAAAGUCAGAUCAAACACAAAGAAAGACGAGAGAGAAAGUAGAGCCACAUCAGAAAAAAAAAAGCCCUUAUGUUCUCAGACUGAUAGAUGUUCUCAUUA